rnacentral:rRNA from 1 species
GGGGGAAAAUUAAUAAUUUAUAUUGUAAUAAAAAAAAUUUUAAUAUGGGGGUAUUAAAGUAUAUUUUAGAAAAAAUAUAAAUUUUUAUAGGGAAGUAGUAUUGUAAAAUAAAUUUGAAAUAAAUGAAAAUUAAUUAAUUGAAAAGUAAAUUUAAUUUAUUGUAUCUUGUGUAUCAGAGUUUAUUAAAAAUUGUUUUUUAAAUAAAAAAAUCUCGAAUUUGAAAGAGUUAUCUAAUUAAAAAAGUUAACGUUGUAUAGUUAUUUUUAAUAAUUAGUUAGAAAUGAAAUGUUAAUCGUUUUCAAAUAUAUCUAGUUUUUUUAGAAAAAAAUUUAAUUUUAAAUUUAAAAAAUUUAUGAUUAAAUUAAAAAAAUUAUAAAUUUUAAAAUUAAAUAUAUUAAGGGAUAAGCUUUAAUUUAAAUAUUUAUAAUGUACAAAAAAAAAAUUAAAAAUUUUAAAAUUUAUAUUGUUUAAAAAAUUUAGUUUAUUACAAAAAAUUUUUUUUAAAAAAAAAUUUAUAAAAAAAAAUUUAAAUUUUUAUAAAAAAAAUAAUUUUUAAUAAAAAAAAAUUAGAAAUAAUGAUAAAAUUAGUAUAAAAAAAAAGUAAAUAAUAAAUAAAUAAAAAAUUAAAUUAAAGGAAUUCGGCAAAAAUUUAUAUUCACUUGUUUAUCAAAAACAUGUCUUUUUGAAAAUAAUUUAAAGUCUAAUCUGCCCACUGAUAUUAAUAUUAAAGGGCUGCAGUAUAUUGACUGUACAAAGGUAGCAUAAUCAAUAGUCUUUUAAAUGGAGACUUGUAUGAAAGAUUUGAUGAAAUAUAAACUGUCUCUAAUUUAAAAAUAGAAAUUAAUUUUUUAAUUAAAAAGUUAAAAUAUAUUUAAAAGACGAGAAGACCCUAUAGAGUUUUAUAAUUUAAUAAUAACAAUUAAUUAUAUAAAUUUAAAUUUUAAUUAGUAGAAUUAUUUUAUUGGGGUGAUAGAAAAAUUAAAAUAACUUUUUUUAAAAAUUAAACAUAAAUAAGUGAAUAUAUGAUCCAUAAUUAAUGAUUAAAAGAAAAAAUUACCUUAGGGAUAACAGCGUAAUUUUUUUUUUUAGUACAGAUAAAAAAAAAAGGUUGCGACCUCGAUGUUGGAUUAAAAUAAAAUUUAAAUGCAAAAGUUUAAAAUUUUGAUCUGUUCGAUCAUUAAAAUCUUACAUGAUCUGAGUUCAAACCGGUGUAAGCCAGGUUGGUUUCUAUCUUUAAAAAAAUAACAUAUUUUAGUACAAAAGGAUCAAAUAUUUUAAAUAAUUUAAUUUAAUUUUCAAAAUAUCAAUAAAAUAAU